CAAGAGGAGGAGCAGCAGGGUGAAACUGAGACAGUUCUGGUGAGUUUCACUUUGCUGCUCCUCCUGA
rnacentral:miRNA from 15 species